rnacentral:rRNA from 1 species
UGGGGAAUCUUGCACAAUGGGCGAAAGCCUGAUGCAGCAACGCCGCGUGGGGGAUGAAGGCCCUCGGGUUGUAAACCCCUUUCAGCAGGGACGAAUCUGACGGUACCUGCAGAAGAAGCCCCGGCCAACUACGUGCCAGCAGCCGCGGUAACACGUAGGGGGCAAGCGUUGUCCGGAUUUAUUGGGCGUAAAGAGCUCGUAGGCUGUUCGAUAAGUCGGGUGUGAAACCUCCAGGCUCAACCUGGAGACGCCACCCGAUACUGUCAUGACUAGAGUCCGGUAGGGGAGCGUGGAAUUCCUGGUGUAGCGGUGAAAUGCGCAGAUAUCAGGAGGAACACCAGCGGCGAAGGCGGCGCUCUGGGCCGGUACUGACGCUGAGGAGCGAAAGCGUGGGUAGCAAACAGGAUUAGAUACCCCCGUAGUCC